rnacentral:rRNA from 1 species
AGAGUUUGAUCCUGGCUCAGAACGUACGCUGGCGGCACGCCUAAUACAUGCAAGUCGAACGCAGUAGCAAUACUGAGUGGCGAACGGGUGAGUAUAAUAUGGGAAUCUGCCCUUUGGUUCGGAAUAACACGAGGAAACUUGUGCUAAUACCGGAUAAGCCUUCACAGGGAAAGCUUUAGCGCCAAAGGAUGAGCCCGUACUUGAUUAGCUAGUUGGUGGGGUAAAAGCCUACCAAGGCUACGAUCAAUAGCUGAUCUGAGAGGAUGAUCAGCCACAUUGGGACUGAGACACGGCCCAAACUCCUACGGGAGGCAGCAGUGGGGAAUCUUGCACAAUGGGGGAAACCCUGAUGCAGCGAUGCCGCGUGAGUGAAGAAGGCCUUUGGGUUGUAAAGCUCUUUCGUCGGGGAAGAAAAUGACUGUACCCGAAUAAGAAGGUCCGGCUAACUUCGUGCCAGCAGCCGCGGUAAUACGAAGGGACCUAGCGUAGUUCGGAAUUACUGGGCUUAAAGAGCACGUAGGUGGUUAAAAAAGUUGGUGGUGAAAUCCCAAGGCUUAACCUUGGAACUGCCACCAAAACUUUUUGACUAGAGUAUGAUAGAGGUAAGCGGAAUUUCUAGUGUAGAGGUGAAAUUCGUAGAUAUUAGAAAGAACACCAAUUGCGAAGGCAGCUUUCUGGAUCAUUACUGACACUGAGGUGCGAAAGCAUGGGUAGCGAAGAGGAUUAGAUACCCUCGUAGUCCAUGCCGUAAACGAUGUGUGCUAGACGUUGGAAAAUUUUUUUUUCAGUGUCGCAGCAAAAGCGUUAAGCACACCGCCUGGGGAGUACGACCGCAAGGUUAAAACUCAAAUGAAUUGACGGGGACCCGCACAAGUAGUGGAGCAUGUGGUUUAAUUCGAAGAUACGCGCAGAACCUUACCAACACUUGACAUGUUCGUCGCGACUCUAAGAGAUUAGAGUCUUCGGUUCGGCCGGACGAAACACAGGUGCUGCAUGGCUGUCGUCAGCUCGUGUCGUGAGAUGUUGGGUUAAGUCCCGCAACGAGCGCAACCCUUACUUUUAGUUGCCACCAUUUAGUUGAGCACUCUAAAAGAACUGCCAGUGAUAAGCUGGAGGAAGGUGGGGAUGACGUCAAGUCCUCAUGGCCCUUACGUGUUGGGCUACACACGUGCUACAAUGGUAUCUACAAUGAGAUGCGAAGAGGCGACUCUAAGCCAAUCCCAAAAAGAUACCUCAGUUCGGAUUGCACUCUGCAACUCGAGUGCAUGAAGCUGGAAUUACUAGUAAUCGUGGAUCAGCGCGCCACGGUGAAUACGUUCCCGGGUCUUGUACACACCGCCCGUCACACCAUGGAAGUUGGUUACACCUUAAGGCAAAGCAUAAAACCUUUGACUACGGUACGAUCAGCGACUGGGGUGAAGUCGUAACAAGGUAACC